GGGUGAGUAACGCGUGAGGAACCUGCCUCAAAGAGGGGGACAACAGUUGGAAACGACUGCUAAUACCGCAUAAGCCCACAGGUCGGCAUCGACCAGAGGGAAAAGGAGCAAUCCGCUUUGAGAUGGCCUCGCGUCCGAUUAGCUAGUUGGUGAGGUAAUGGCCCACCAAGGCGACGAUCGGUAGCCGGACUGAGAGGUUGAACGGCCACAUUGGGACUGAGACACGGCCCAGACUCCUACGGGAGGCAGCAGUGGGGAAUAUUGCACAAUGGGGGAAACCCUGAUGCAGCGACGCCGCGUGGAGGAAGAAGGUCUUCGGAUUGUAAACUCCUGUUGUUGAGGAAGAUAAUGACGGUACUCAACAAGGAAGUGACGGCUAACUACGUGCCAGCAGCCGCGGUAAAACGUAGGUCACAAGCGUUGUCCGGAAUUACUGGGUGUAAAGGGAGCGCAGGCGGGAAGACAAGUUGGAAGUGAAAUCUAUGGGCUCAACCCAUAAACUGCUUUCAAAACUGUUUUUCUUGAGUAGUGCAGAGGUAGGCGGAAUUCCCGGUGUAGCGGUGGAAUGCGUAGAUAUCGGGAGGAACACCAGUGGCGAAGGCGGCCUACUGGGCACCAACUGACGCUGAGGCUCGAAAGUGUGGGUAGCAAACAGGAUUAGAUACCCUGGUAGUCCACACCGUAAACGAUGAUUACUAGGUGUUGGAGGAUU
rnacentral:rRNA from 1 species